rnacentral:rRNA from 1 species
CUAAGGGUCUGUAGCCGGCCAGGUAAGUCCCUUGGGAAAUCUGGCAGCUUAACUGUCAGGCUGCUAGGGGAUACUGCUGGGCUUGGGACCGGGAGAGGUGAGAGGUACCUUGGGGGUAGGGGUGAAAUCUUGUGAUCCUCGGGGGACCACCAGUGGCGAAGGCGUCUCACCAGAACGGGUCCGACGGUAAGGGACGAAAGCUAGGGGCACGAACCGGAUUAAAUACCCGGGUAGUCCUAGCCGUAAACAAUGCUCGCUAGGUGUCAGUCACGGUGCGACCGUGAUUGGUGCCGUAGGGAAGCCGUGAAGCGAGCCACCUGGGAAGUAUGGCCGCAAGGCUGAAACUUAAAGGAAUUGGCGGGGGAGCACUACAACGGGGGGAGCCUGCGGUUUAAUUGGAUUCAACGCCGGAAAUCUCACCGGGGGCGACAGCA